rnacentral:rRNA from 1 species
AACGAACGCUGGCGGCAUGCCUAACACAUGCAAGUCGAACGAGACCUUCGGGUCUAGUGGCGCACGGGUGCGUAACGCGUGGGAACCUGCCCUUAGGUUCGGAAUAACUCCCCGAAAGGGGUGCUAAUACCGGAUAAUGUCUUCGGACCAAAGAUUUAUCGCCUUUGGAUGGGCCCGCGUUGGAUUAGCUAGUUGGUAGGGUAAAAGCCUACCAAGGCGACGAUCCAUAGCUGGUCUGAGAGGAUGAUCAGCCACACUGGGACUGAGACACGGGCCAGACUCCUACGGGAGGCAGCAGUGGGGAAUAUUGGACGAUGGGCGAAAGCCUGAUCCAGCAAUGCCGCGUGAGUGAUGAAGGCCUUAGGGUUGUAAAGCUCUUUUACCCGGGAUGAUAAUGACAGUACCGGGAGAAUAAGCUCCGGCUAACUCCGUG